GACGAACGCUGGCGGCGUGCCUAACACAUGCAAGUCGAGCGAAUGAAGUUUCUUCGGGAACGGAUUUAGCGGCGGACGGGUGAGUAACACGUGGGCAACCUGCCUCAUAGAGGGGAAUAGCCUUCCGAAAGGGAGAUUAAUACCGCAUAAGAUUGUAGUACCGCAUGGUACAGCAAUUAAAGGAGCAAUCCGCUAUGAGAUGGGCCCGCGGCGCAUUAGCUAGUUGGUGAGGUAACGGCUCACCAAGGCGACGAUGCGUAGCCGACCUGAGAGGGUGAUCGGCCACAUUGGGACUGAGACACGGCCCAGACUCCUACGGGAGGCAGCAGUGGGGAAUAUUGCACAAUGGGGGAAACCCUGAUGCAGCAACGCCGCGUGAGUGAUGACGGCCUUCGGGUUGUAAAGCUCUGUCUUCAGGGACGAUAAUGACGGUACCUGAGGAGGAAGCCACGGCUAACUACGUGCCAGCCGCCGCGGUAACAC
rnacentral:rRNA from 1 species